CUAACCUGCUAAAUAGUACGGUUGCAAUUUUUAUACGGAUACCUGUCGCUGGGCUCAGGUCUGGCAACAGGCCCGUAUAAGCAGGUGAGACUUCUUAGAGGGACUGGCGCAGAAAAAGGCGCACGAGAAAGAGCAAUAACAGGUCUGUGAUGCCCUAAGAUGUCCGGGGCCGCACGCGUGCUACAAUGACGAUGCUACUGAGCAUGAUUAACUGGUCCGAAAGGAUUGGUGAAACUGGUCAAUCAUCGUCGUGCCUGGGAUUGGGGUUUGCAAUUAUCCCCCAUGAACCAGGAAUUCCUAGUAAGCACAAGUCAUCACCUUGUGCUGAUUACGUCCCUGCCCUUUGUACACACCGCCCGUCGCUACUACCGAUUGAAUGGUUUAGCAAGGUCAUUGGAUUGAGUCCUAGCGGUUCACGCUGCUUGGAUUUGAGAAGAUGCCCGAACUUGAUCAUUUAGAGGAAGUAAAAGUCGUAACAAGGUUUCCGUAGGUGAACCUGCGGAAGGAUCAUUACGAAGUUCCAAUCUGGUGUAGACACCUUCUACACAAGCGUCGUGCAAUGCGGCUGGCGGAACCUGAAAGGGAACCGUUAGUCUCACCACGUCGCGCCGGUCUAUGGGAGUUCGCCUCCCGCUGACCACUUAUGGUACAGAAACGAACGUCAGCUACUCGCCGGUAACACUCUUACUGCGUUGAGUACUGGCGUUUCGUCCUGCGAGCCCCUGGACUUGCUCUCAGCCGGUGUCGUGGCCUGUGAUGGUGCCACGUUUACUGACUGAGGGCUAGAUUGCAUAGUUCAGCUCGAUGGCUUGCACCAUCACACCCCCUCCCUGCUAACGCGGGUUGAGUCUAUUGAAUUUUACCAACAUAACCUACGUAGCGGCUAACCCUGUUACGAGAGUGGGCUGGUAGUGCUGCGUCUACCUUAGUAUGGUUUUGUCUACGGGCUCUACUGUACGGGUAACACGUUCACGCACAACAACCGACCACUCUACCCCUGGCGCUGGUUCUCUUGUGGGACCACUGCCAACCUGUACAACUGCAAGUGGUGGAUCACUCGGCUCAUGCG
rnacentral:rRNA from 1 species